GUGUUCAGUUUAGCAGUACAUAUACAAAUUUAGAAUGAUACAGAGAAUAUUAGCAUGGUCCCUAUGCAAGGAUGACAUGCAAAUUUGUGAAGUAUUUCAUAUUAAA
ensembl:snRNA U6 U6 spliceosomal RNA